UUUUCCACUGAGCAGAAGAGGUGUGGAGGUACCUGCUGCAUUAUUUUCCUCACUGGGCUGGCACAACAAAGAAACAGAGUGAACCAGGCCGUGUUCCUGAAUCAGUGACCUCCGUGGAGACUGAACUUGCAGACUCUAAAAACUUAAGAAAGGUUGGUGCGUUCCUCCUCCACUCUUCAACAACAUCCAUCAUUUUAAAGUCCUUUAAAUCGUUGAUGCUAUUCUUUCGGAGAACUGACUUGAAUUUCAGGCUUGUUAGCUUCUUGCACUCCUUUUUCACAACAUUAAGCACUUCUCGCACCACUGCAUCAGACAUGCCCGGGACAGACAUAAAGGCAUGUGGAAGUCUGUUGAGACGUCCUUGAACAAUAUGUUCCAGAACAAGCUCUAAGGAUCCUUUUACAAUCCGACUUCUCCUGCUGUGUGCCGUUGUUAUGAUGACCUUUAAAAACAAAGGAAUACAUGUGUCAAUGAGUGGUCUUAACAACUGUAACCACCUUCUAUAUCAUUUCAUAAUAAUUUUCUUUAUGAUUCCUUAAUUACUGAGCAUUACAUAUUUAAAUGUGAUGUUCAGUUUAACGAAGUGUUUCUGGGAUGCGUUUCACAACAAACCUUUUCUAUUUUAGGCACUCUUUUGCUUCCAGUAGUUGAUGCACCAUGACCAACUACAGGCUGUAGUUGUGGCUGAAGUGGUGGCAGUGGCACCUGAGGUGGAGGUGUCUGUGGCAGUGGCAGUGUUUGAAACUGUGGCUGAGGCCUAUCCUCCAGACUAGAGACAGCAGCCUAAAAUGGAGAAGAACAACAUGUAACAUGUCUUAACUAAGCCUUGCUUCCAAUACCACAUUUCCUAUUUCCAUGACAUUUGAUAUCAAGAUUAUCUGGUCAAAAUUUAAGAGUAAAUUUACCACUAGCAUAUUUCUCUACAAGAUUUAUGUGUACAUAUGUUGUGAAAUGCUAACCUGAACUGAGUGUGCAGACCAAACCACUGGCACCACAGUUUCAACUUUCCUUCUCUCUGAUCCUUCAGUAGCUGGCUGAGUUACAUGUUGGGACUGGGGGAAAAAUAUAACUUCAUUAUAGGCAUAAUUAUGUUGGUGACAGUUAUUAUCUGUAUUUGUUUAACUUAUUAUAAAAGAGGAUGAAUGAAAUCAAAGUGUAAAAAGUUAGGGGGUGAUGCUGGUAUGGAAAUGAAAAAGCAAAGAUGGUAAGUGACAAAAUACUGAAGGACAUAGAAGCAUAACAUAUAGAAACUUUAUUAAUGAUAAGAUAGUUAAGUUAGUUACGGCUUUAAUUAAGGACUAAUUACAUGAUUUAGUGAAAGGCAAGAGGUGAGAUGUAUUAACACAAAAAAAGCGCUACAAAGUUGUUAAAUUUGAACACAUAAGGGGAAAAUAGUCUAAGGCAAGUGAAAAAAUAUGUAUGCCAAGAAGAAGCUUGAGAUGGGGUUAGUACAUGGUGAUUUUGAUUAAGUAGAAUGUGUUUUCUAAAAGGUAUUAUACAAAAAAGUUGAGAUUCUCCCUUAUAGUUCCAAAAGGCACGCCAUUUGAGGUGAGGGACGUCAGGACGAGGAAUACCCCAAACAUUGAGGUUUGUAGGACUUGGG
ensembl:lncRNA